rnacentral:misc_RNA from 1 species
GUGAAGUUAGAAGUUCAAAUCCCAAUCAAAACCCAAUCAACUAAAAGGAAAGGAUAUGGAUUAUCCACAAAAUGCAGGAUUUCCCAAACCUUGUUUUGCUCUCAGCGCACACUACGCCCAAAAACAAAUGAAUUUUAUCAGUUAAGACCAUGUACUCACAUAUAGUAAUUGCCACUAAGGGAAACUUAAUAUUCAUCUGGUACAAGCCAAUAAAGAAAAACAAGGAACAAACAGUUCUUAUUAAUCUAG